UGUGAUUUCAGUGCCAGUUCUUGUCUGAGAAAAUGAGUGAUCCAGCAAAGAAACCGGCGGAGUCCACACCUGGGACUGAUGAUGGGAAGAAGGGAAAAGGUGGAAAAGGGGGACACGGCCAUGGGCAUGGAAAAGCCGGCGAGCAUGGAGGAGAUCAUGGAGGCGACCAUAAAGGAAAAGGAGGCGAGCAUAAAGGAAAAGGAGGCGAGCAUGGAGGAGAUCAUGGAGGCGACCAUAAAGGAAAAGGAGGUGACCACGGAGGAAAAGCAGGUCGUGGAGGACAUUAAAGAUUUAAUCAUGUACCAUUUGCAUCUGUUUCAUCACGGUAGCUAUUACGAAAAAAACAUGUUGAGCGAUUUAUUAAAGUUGACAAACCUCUAAUAAAACCUACUUAUAAAACAGAGUCAUAUGUUUGUAUAACUUCUUAAUGCAUAAUAAUCAUGCAAUACAAUGAACAUUUUACAAAAUAGA
rnacentral:lncRNA from 13 species